GAUGAAGAACGCAGCGAAAUGCGAUAAGUAAUGUGAAUUGCAGAAUUCAGUGAAUCAUCGAAUCUUUGAACGCACAUUGCGCCCGCUAGUAUUCUGGCGGGCAUGCCUGUUCGAGCGUCAUUUCAACCAUCAAGCUCCUUAGCUUGUGUUGGGGACCUGCGGCUGCCGCAGCCCCCGAAAUGCAGUGGCGGGCUCGUUGUCACACCGAGUGCAGUAAUCAUUCUUCUCUCCGGGCGUGGCGGCGGGUUCCGGCCGUAAAAUCACCAAUUUAUCAAGGUAGACCUCGGAUCAGGUAGGAAUACCCGCUGAACUUAAGCAUAUCAAUAAGCGGAGGA
rnacentral:misc_RNA from 1 species